UACGUAGGGGGCAAGCGUUGUCCGGAAUUAUUGGGCGUAAAGCGCGCGCAGGCGGUUCUUUAAGUCUGAUGUGAAAUCUCGCGGCUCAACCGCGAGCGGUCAUUGGAAACUGGGGAACUUGAGUGCAGAAGAGGAGAGUGGAAUUCCACGUGUAGCGGUGAAAUGCGUAGAUAUGUGGAGGAACACCAGUGGCGAAAGCGGCUCUCUGGUCUGUAACUGACGCUGAGGCGCGAAAGCGUGGGGAGCAAACAGG
rnacentral:rRNA from 1 species